CCUACGGGUGGCAGCAGUGAGGAAUAUUGGUCAAUGGUCGGGAGACUGAACCAGCCAAGCCGCGUGAGGGAGGAAGGUACAGAGUAUCGUAAACCUCUUUUGUCAGGGAACAAAGGCGGGGACGUGUCCCCGGAUGAGUGUACCUGAAGAAAAAGCAUCGGCUAACUCCGUGCCAGCAGCCGCGGUAAUACGGAGGAUGCGAGCGUUAUCCGGAUUUAUUGGGUUAAAGGGGUGCGCAGGGGGGCUGUUAAGUCAGCGGGCAAAGCCCGGGGCAAAACCCCGGACCGCCGUUGAAACUGGCAGUCUCGAGUUGGAGAGAAGUAUGCGGAAUGCGCGGUGUAGCGGUGAAAUGCAUAGAUAUCGCGCAGAACUCCGAUUGCGAAGGCAGCAUGCCGGCUCCACACUGACGCUGAGGCACGAAAGCGUGGGUAUCGAACAGGAUUAGAUACCCGAGUAGUC
rnacentral:rRNA from 1 species